rnacentral:rRNA from 1 species
UACGUAGGGGGCAAGCGUUGUCCGGAAUCAUUGGGCGUAAAGCGCGUGUAGGCGGCCUGGUAAGCCCGUUCUGAAAGUCCGGGGCUCAACCCCGGGAGGCGGAUGGAUACUGUCAGGCUCGAGUACGGAAGAGGCGAGUGGAAUUCUCGGUGUAGCGGUGAAAUGCGCAGAUAUCGGGAGGAACACCAAUGGCGAAGGCAGCUCGCUGGGACGUUACUGACGCUGAGACGCGAAAGCGUGGGGAGCAAACAGG